ACGGAAGGCAGCAGUGGGGGAUAUUGCACAAUGGAGGAAACUCUGAUGCAGCAACGCCGCGUGAGGGAAGAAGGUUUUCGGAUUGUAAACCUCUGUUUUUAGUGAAGAAACAAAUGACGGUAACUAAAGAGGAAGCCACGGCUAACUACGUGCCAGCAGCCGCGGUAAUACGUAGGUGGCAAGCGUUGUCCGGAUUUACUGGUGUAAAGGGUGCGCAGGCGGGACUGCAAGUUGGAUGUGAAAUGCCGAGGCUUAACCUCGGAACUGCAUCCAAAACUGUAGUUCUUGAGUGGAGUAGAGGUAAGCGGAAUUCCGAGUGUAGCGGUGAAAUGCGUAGAUAUUCGGAGGAACACCAGUGGCGAAGGCGGCUUACUGGGCUCUAACUGACGCUGAGGCACGAAAGUGCGGGUAGCAAACAGGAUUAGAUACCCUGGUA
rnacentral:rRNA from 1 species